rnacentral:ncRNA from 1 species
AACCCAUUGAUGAGUCAUGAGACCCGAAAUUACGUCGUAUUGUUGACACUCAAAAAGACUGCAAAUUCCAAUUCGUUUCGGAAUACAGUCCGUCGACGAGAUAGAGCGAACUUGCACAGAUUU